GAUGAAGAACGUAGCGAAAUGCGAUACGUAAUGUGAAUUGCAGAAUUCAGUGAAUCAUCGAAUCUUUGAACGCAUAUUGCGCUCUCUGGUAUUCCGGAGAGCAUGCUUGUUUGAGUAUCAGUAAACACCUCAACUUCCAUAUCUUUUUUGAAAUGGGAGUUGGACUUGAGUGAUCCCAACGCUUUUCCUCACCGAAAAGUGGCGGGUUACUUGAAAUGCAGGUGCAGCUGGACUUUUCUCUGAGCUAUAAGCAUAUCUAUUUAGUCUGCCUAAAAAACAGAUUAUUACCUUUGCUGCAGCUAACAUAAAGGAGAUUAGUUCUUGUGCUGACUGAUGCAGGAUUCACAAAGACAGGCUUCGGCCGACUUUGUAAACUCGAUCUCAAAUCAAGUAAGACUACCCGCUGGACUUAAGCAUAUCAAUAAGCGGAGGA
rnacentral:misc_RNA from 1 species